rnacentral:lncRNA from 1 species
CUGCCUCAAAAACUCUCUCUUGGCCUUGGCUGAUUUCUCUCAACGGGCAGAGGACAAAAAUAGAGGAGAAGAAAAAAAAAGGGAAUGCUCCACUCUCUCCCCACUUCGGCCUUUCCUGGAGCUCCCAACAAAAAACACUGACAGAGGAAAGAAAAGAGGGCUCUCAGUUGAGAGCUUCUUCCGGGCUUCCAGACGAAAGCCACAGAUGAAAAAAGGGGAAGCUUGGGAGCUUGCUACUAGUGCCAUUACCACCACCACUGCCAUAAUAAUCUCCAUUGUAAAACCAUU